AUCCAGGAUUGGGAAUCAAACCCACAGUGUUGCACUUACGGCCAGAUGCCAUGUCCACUAGACUACCCUGGA